rnacentral:rRNA from 1 species
GCCUCCCUCCGCGCCACUCAGACUCCUACGGAGGGCAGCAGUGGGGAAUUUUGGGACAAUGGGCGAAAGCCUGAUCCAGCAAUGCCGCGUGUGUGAAGAAGGUCUUCGGGAUUUGUAAAGCAACUUUCGACAGGGACGAUGAUGACGGUACCUGUAGAAGAAGCCCCGGCUAACCUUCGUGCCAGCCGCCGCGGUAAUUC